rnacentral:rRNA from 1 species
UACAGAGGGUGCAAGCGUUAAUCGGAAUUACUGGGCGUAAAGCGUGCGUAGACGGUCAUGUAAGUCGGGUGUGAAAGCCCCGGGCUCAACCUGGGAAUUGCAUUCGAGACUGCAUGGCUAGGGUGCGGAAGAGGGAAGCGGAAUUUCCGGUGUAGCGGUGAAAUGCGUAGAUAUCGGGAGGAAUACCGAUGGCGAAGGCAGGUCUCUGGGCUGACACUGACGCUCAUGCACGAAAGCGUGGGGAGCAAACAGG